GACGAACGCUGGCGGCGUGCUUAACACAUGCAAGUCGAGCGGUAAGGCCCUUUCGGGGGUACACGAGCGGCGAACGGGUGAGUAACACGUGGGUGACCUGCCCUUAGCUCUGGGAUAAGCCUGGGAAACUGGGUCUAAUACCGGAUAUGACUCCAUGACGCAUGUUGUGGGGUGGAAAGCCUUGUGCGGCUAGGGAUGGGCCCGCGGCCUAUCAGCUUGUUGGUGGGGUGAUGGCCUACCAAGGCGACGACGGGUAGCCGGCCUGAGAGGGCGACCGGCCGACACUGGGGACUGAGACACGGCCCAGACUCCUACGGGAGGCAGCAGUGGGGAAUCUUGCGCAAUGGGCGAAAGCCUGACGCAGCGACGCCGCGUGAGGGAUGACGGCCUCGGUU
rnacentral:rRNA from 1 species